rnacentral:lncRNA from 8 species
AUGCAACUUUUCAGGGAAGUUAGGAACCAAUAUACACAGGCAGUUAUGAAAGCUAAGGCUAGCUUUUUCAAACAGAAAUUUGCAUCCUGUAGCACAAACUUUCAAAAAUUCUGGGACACUGUAAAGUCCAUGGAGAAUAAGAGCACCUCCUCCCAGCUGCCCACUCCACUGAGGCUAGGAAACAAUGUCACCACCGAUAAAUCCACUAUAAUUGAGAAUUUCAAUAAGCAUUUUUCUACGGCUGGCCAUACUUUCCACCUGGCUACCCCUACCCCGGUCAACAGCCCUGCACCCCCCACAGCAACUUGCCCAAGCCUCCCCCAUUUCUCCUUCACCCAAAUCCAGAUAGCUGAUGUUCUGAAAGAGCUGCAAAAUCUGGAACCCUACAAAUCAUCUUGGCUAGACAAUCUGGACCCUCUCUUUCUAAAAUUAUCUGCCGAAAUUGUUGCAUCCCCUAUUACUAGCCUGUUCAACCUCUCUUUCGUAUCAUCUGAGAUUUCCAAAGAUUGGAAAGCUGCCGCGGUCAUCCCCCUCUUCAAAGGGGGAGACACUCUAGACCCAAACUGCUACAGACCUAUAUCUAUCCUACCCUGCCUUUCUAAGGUCUUCGAAAGCAAAGUUAACAAACAGAUUACCGACCAUUUCGAAUCCCACCGUACCUUCUCCGCUAUGCAGUCUGGUUUCAGAGCUCGUCAUGGGUGCACCUCAGCCACGCUCAAGGUCCUAAAUGAUAUCAUAACCACCAUCGAUAAGAGACAAUACUGUGCAGCUGUAUUCAUCGACCUGGCCAAGGCUUUCGACUCUGUCAAUCACAACAUUCUUAUCGGCAGACUCAACAGCCUUGUUUUCUCAAAUGACUGCAUCACCUGCUUCACCAACUACUUCUCUAAUAGAGUUCAGUGUGUCAAAUCGGAGGGCCUGUUGUCCGGACCUCUGGCAGUCUCUAUGGGGGUGCCACAGGGUUCAAUUCUUGGGCUGACUCUAUUCUCUGUAUACAUCAAUGAUGUCGCUCUUGCUGCUGGUGAUUCUCUGAUCCACCUCUACGCAGAUGACAGCAUUCUGUAUAUUUCUGGCCCUUCUUUGGACACUGUGUUAACUAACCUCCAGCUUCAAUGCCAUACAACUCUCCUUCUGUGGCCUACAACUGCUCUUAAAUGCAAGUAA